GAGGGUAUAGCUCAGUGGUAAAGUGCGUGCUUAGCAUGCAUGAGGUCCUGGGUACAAUCCCCAGUACCUCA
rnacentral:tRNA from 1 species